GUGUAUUUGGGUGGAUUACCGGAGCUACAGUAGUUACGUGCUCUCAUUCACCUUGAAUGGAUACCGCCUCCUCUACACCGCAAACAGCCUUCCACGUACCAGUACUGCUACCACGUGCACUACCUCGUGGCACCCUCCAGCCGUUUGUGUGCCCAGUUGUACAGUAUCAACAGGAGCCGCCACACUAUGUGCGCGCGCAUCACCGGAACCGUAAACAUCAAGGGUCACAUUCGCAGCGCCUAUCAGAAUAUCGGCUGUUUCCGUGUCCCAUGCCACACCGACAAUCUAGCCAUUGAGCGCCAAGAGGGCACUGAUCACCUCCCCUCUGAUAACUUUGACCCGGCAUCUGAUAACCUUGACAGUAGAUCCGAUGAGAAAGAGGAGAACCAAGAUGGGAGUUUCGAAGAUAGCGCCGAAGACGACUCUGACUCGGCUUAAAGAUAUGAAUGAACUUCCGAUCUGAAAGAUGUGUCCAACUAAAAUCUUGAUCAUAUUAUGACACUGCUAAGUUGCAGUGUUUUCUUUGUACUUUUACAUGAGUGUGCUACUUAUAUUGUCUUCAGAAAUAUUGAUGUGAAAUUGCAUGAUUUUGUUGCAACAAGUCGCAGUAAUUGUAAAGUUGUGUUUGUAAUUGAAUAUGAGAUCAUAUAUAAAGGUUGCAGCACACACUACCCUUGUUAUACUAGAAAGU